GUCUUUUUGAAUAUAAUUUAAAGUCUAAUCUGCCCAAUGAAAAUUAAAUGGCCGCAGUAUAUUGACUGUGCAAAGGUAGCAUAAUCAUUAGUUUUUUAAUUGAAAGCUGGAAUGAAUGAUUGAAUGAAAAAAUAACUGUCUCAACAUAAAUUAUUUAGAAUUUUAUUUUUAAGUUAAAAAGCUUAAAUUUAAUUAAAAGACGAGAAGACCCUAUAGAGUUUAAUAUAUAAAUAUUUUAAAUUAUAUUUAGUAUAUAAAAUCUUAUAAUAUUAGUGUAUUUAAUUGGGGUGAUUAUAAAAUUAAUAAAACUUUUAUUUUUAAUAACAUUAAUAUAUGAAUAUUUGAUCCAUAGAUUUUGAUUAUAAGAUAAAAUUACCUUAGGGAUAACAGCGUAAUAUUUUUUUAGAGUUCUAAUCGAUAAAAGAGAUUGCGACCUCGAUGUUGGAUUAAAGUUAAUUGAUGGUGUAGAAGCUAUUAAAUUAGGUCUGUUCGACCUUUAAAACUUUACA
rnacentral:rRNA from 1 species